UGGGGAAUCUUAGACAAUGGGCGCAAGCCUGAUCUAGCCAUGCCGCGUGAGUGAUGAAGGCCUUAGGGUCGUAAAGCUCUUUCGCCUGUGAAGAUAAUGACGGUAGCAGGUAAAGAAGUCCCGGCUAACUCCGUGCCAGCAGCCGCGGUAAUACGGAGGGGACUAGCGUUGUUCGGAAUUACUGGGCGUAAAGCGCGCGUAGGCGGACUAGUCAGUCAGAGGUGAAAUCCCAGGGCUCAACCCUGGAACUGCCUUUGAUACUGCUAGUCUUGAGUUCGAGAGAGGUGAGUGGAAUUCCGAGUGUAGAGGUGAAAUUCGUAGAUAUUCGGAAGAACACCAGUGGCGAAGGCGGCUCACUGGCUCGAUACUGACGCUGAGGUGCGAAAGUGUGGGGAGCAAACAGGAUUAGAUACCCUGGUAGUCCACACCGUAAACGAUGAAUGCCAGACGUCGGGCAGCAUGCUGUUCGGUGUCACACCUAACGGAUUAAGCAUUCCGCCUGGGGAGUACGGUCGCAAGAUUA
rnacentral:rRNA from 1 species